rnacentral:rRNA from 1 species
GACGAACGCUGGCGGCGUGCCUAAUACAUGCAAGUUGAGCGAUGAAGAUUGGUGCUUGCACCAAUUUGAAGAGCAGCGAACGGGUGAGUAACGCGUGGGGAAUCUGCCUUUGAGCGGGGGACAACAUUUGGAAACGAAUGCUAAUACCGCAUAACAACUUUAAACAUAAGUUUUAAGUUUGAAAGAUGCAAUUGCAUCACUCAAAGAUGAUCCCGCGUUGUAUUAGCUAGUUGGUGAGGUAAAGGCUCACCAAGGCGAUGAUACAUAGCCGACCUGAGAGGGUGAUCGGCCACAUUGGGACUGAGACACGGCCCAAACUCCUACGGGAGGCAGCAGUAGGGAAUCUUCGGCAAUGGACGAAAGUCUGACCGAGCAACGCCGCGUGAGUGAAGAAGGGUUUCGGAUCGUAAAACUCUGUUGGUAGAGAAGAACGUUGGUGAGAGUGGAAAGCUCAUCAGGUGACGGUAACUACCCAGAAAGGGACGGCUAACUACGUG